rnacentral:tRNA from 1 species
GCCCGGGUAGCUCAGUUGGUAGAGCAUAUGACUGAAAAUCAUAGUGUCGGCGGUUCGAUCCCGUCCCCGGGCA